rnacentral:lncRNA from 1 species
ACCCCACAAUGUCUCAUAAGGGGAUCUGCAAGGCAGCCCUAAAUUCCAAGCAGGACAUGUAACUCCUCAAUGGACAAAUGGACACUGGACCCUGGUUGAAGGAACCUGUUGUUCUUAUGGUGGAGGGCAGAAACCCAAGAGGGCUGGAGCCAAUCCAUGAAAGAGGUUUAAUUGACUCAGAGUUCCAUAUGGCUGGGGAGGCCUUGCGAUCAUGCAGAUGGCGAAUGAGGAGCAAAAACACAUCUUACAUGGUGGCAGAACUCAGGCACGUGGCCACAUCUAACAGCAAGGGAGUCUGGAAAACACAGUUCAGCUGUGUGAAGGAUAUUUAUAAACAUUUAGCAAGAUCCAAAGGAAUGGACCAUAGCACAGCCCUGUUUUCUUUAGACGCUGACUCCUGCUGUCUACCAGAUCCUCGUGGUACAAUGACUGGUGUAGACUGGCUUGUUGAAGUCACUCUCUGGAUCUGAGCAACGCUGGCUGAGCCGUGAUGAAGUAUUCCUAUCCAUCCACUAUGCUUCACAGUGGGAAUCUCUCACUGUUCAUCACCGCUGCCCUAGCAGCCGCAGGUUCAAGAGCUGCUGGGAUAUAGCAGUUAAGAGAUGAACCCUGCAGCCUGACUUCCUUUGCUAGAAUCCUGGCACUGUUACUUAUUCCUUGUAUGUCUCUAGCUGGAAUGAGAGACUGGAUGGCGUUGAAAUGAAAUGCUGGAGCCAUCCAUCCAUGUGCUUCCAGGGUGGCUUCCUGGCUGUGAGAACACAGUGACCCUGUGAGGCCAACAUGGACUCGGUUCUCCUGACAUAACAUGGCUGGAGGAGCUCCAGCUCUGGGAUGUUAUCUUGCUGUUUUACACUGGUGGUUCAGCCAGCCCAUGGGAAACUGAACUUGGGCUGGGAGACCUGGCAGCAAAUCCAAACUGAAAUAAGAAUCAGCACUUCGAGUUCAACUGUGAAACAAAUGUGGGCCCAAGGCCUAAAUGCCCGAAAGACAUAGGGAAGGGUUGAAGUGGAAUAAAGAAAGCUUUUGGUGACACUAUGGGAAGGGCUAUUGAGUAUCUUCUCAGGACAGUACAAAAUGUCAGAGGCACAGCAUAUUUCGAAACCUAUUUUUAAAGCUGCUUUAGAUUUUUUAACUUGAUGGAUAGAUAUAUUCAUUUUUUAAAAAAAGAAAUGGUGACCCUCUUAAGAGGCAAAGUACGAGCCUCAAGUGUUGUGGGAUGUAUCCAUCAUUGGUUACUAAGUUUUCCAAUGGCUCAGACACUCCCAGAAGCGAAGACUCCUGAGCCAAAGGAAGAUGAGAGCUGAAAGGAGCAUCGAGCUCAUCCAGUGCAAUGCUUCUCAGCUUGUGCCCACUUUGGAUUCACUUGGAAAUAUUUUAGAAAUACUGAUGCCUGGGCCCCAUUCCAGACCAGUUAAAUCAUACUAUCUGGGAGAGAUACCCAGAAAGUGGUAUGUUUUAACACCUCCUUAGGGAUUCUGCUGAUCAACCAAGGUUGAGAAGAAUCAAACUAGACUCAUUUUACAUAUGAAGAAAUGGAAACCCAGAUAUUGAGAUAAAAAAUGUUGCCCAAGUCACGUAGCUAGUGUCAAAACCUGACUCUUAAUAAAUGCCCUUAUGUCACACU